GACGAACGCUGGCGGCGUGCUUAACACAUGCAAGUCGAACGGAAAGGCCCUGCUUUUGUGGGGUGCUCGAGUGGCGAACGGGUGAGUAACACGUGAGUAACCUGCCCUUGACUUUGGGAUAACUUCAGGAAACUGGGGCUAAUACCGGAUAGGAGCUCCUGCUGCAUGGUGGGGGUUGGAAAGUUUCGGCGGUUGGGGAUGGACUCGCGGCUUAUCAGCUUGUUGGUGGGGUAGUGGCUUACCAAGGCUUUGACGGGUAGCCGGCCUGAGAGGGUGACCGGCCACAUUGGGACUGAGAUACGGCCCAGACCCCUACGGGAGGCAGCAGGGGGGAAUAUUGCACAAUGGGCGGAAGCCUGAUGCAGCACCGCCGCGUGCGGGAUGACGGCCUUCGGGUUGUAAACCGCUUUCGCCUGUGACGAAGCGUGAGUGACGGUAAUGGGUAAAGAAGCACCGGCUAACUACGUG
rnacentral:rRNA from 1 species